AUUGAACGCUGGCGGAAUGCUUUACACAUGCAAGUCGAGCGGCAGCGCGGGGGCAACCCUGGCGGCGAGCGGCGAACGGGUGAGUAACAUAUCGGAACGUACCCCGUCGUGGGGGAUAACACAGCGAAAGCUGUGCUAAUACCGCAUACGACCUGAGGGUGAAAGCGGGGGACCGCAAGGCCUCGCGCGAUGGGAGCGGCCGAUAUCGGAUUAGCUCGUUGGAGAGGUAAAGGCUCACCAAGGCGACGAUCCGUAGAUGGUCUGAGAGGACGACCAGCCAAACUGGAACUGGGACACGGUCCAGACUCCUACGGGAGGCAGCAGUGGGGAAUUUUGGACAAUGGGGGCAACCCUGAUCCAGCCAUUCCGCGGGAGUGAAGAAGGCCUUCGGGUUGUAAAGCUCUUUCGGCAGGAACGGAACGGCGCGCUCUGACAUAGCGUGUCAAUGACGGUACCUGAAGAAGAAGCACCGGCUAACUACGUGCCAGCCGCCGCCGUAA
rnacentral:rRNA from 1 species